UCUACAGUGCCGCUUAAGUUGGUAGAGCGUCCGCCUCGGAUGCGGGAGGUCACGGUUUCAAACCCCGGCCGAGUCAUACCAAAGAU